GGUUGAUGAUGAUAAUCCCACUGGCUUGCUUCUCAAACAUUCGCAGUGGCCACCUAAAACUCUCGCCUGGCCGGGCUUGAGAGUUAAUGCUGCUUCCAAACCUUCCUUGGAUAUCUGAGACC
rfam:Physcomitrella patens subsp. patens PHYPAscaffold_78 genomic scaffold, whole genome shotgun sequence.